AAGUCGAACGAACUUCCGUUAAUUGAUUAUGACGUACUUGUACUGAUUGAGAUUUUAACACGAAGUGAGUGGCGAACGGGUGAGUAACACGUGGGUAACCUGCCCAGAAGUAGGGGAUAACACCUGGAAACAGAUGCUAAUACCGUAUAACAGAGAAAACCGCAUGGUUUUCUUUUAAAAGAUGGCUCUGCUAUCACUUCUGGAUGGACCCGCGGCGUAUUAGCUAGUUGGUGAGGUAAAGGCUCACCAAGGCAGUGAUACGUAGCCGACCUGAGAGGGUAAUCGGCCACAUUGGGACUGAGACACGGCCCAGACUCCUACGGGAGGCAGCAGUAGGGAAUCUUCCACAAUGGACGCAAGUCUGAUGGAGCAACGCCGCGUGAGUGAAGAAGGGUUUCGGCUCGUAAAGCUCUGUUGUUAAAGAAGAACGUGGGUAAGAGUAACUGUUUACCCAGUGAC
rnacentral:rRNA from 1 species